rnacentral:lncRNA from 1 species
CACAAUCUUACAGUCUAGAAGUUCACUAGGUUGAUUCUUUCCCUUUCCAACCUAAGACAUGGUAAUUCAGACUCCCAACAAGAAGUUGAAAUGUGAAUUCAAGUCAAAAUAUUUCAUUCAGAUGCGUUUAAAGUAAUUUGUGUUUCCCCAAUUGAUUGCCAAAUUGCUAGGAAAUUCUAUCAGCAAUACUUUAUUCCCUCAGCUCUUUUCCUCCCCCACAAAAAUUACACUAAAGUCAGGGCUGAUAGGUGCAAUUUAAAGGAAGUAUUUUUCUGUAAAAUGCAAGCAAACCCUCAUUCAAAUGAACACUCCAGUUUAUGCUCCAUAAACAAUUCUGACAUCAAAAUUAGUAUGCGUUCCUAAGAAACACUGUUUACUACAGUAACAGUGGAAUGCAGUCUUGUAAUGCUGGCUUUCUUAACCGAAGAAAGAAAAGACGAAUAUGGUGCAGAUAACUGUUGUAGCUUCUGGGGAGUAUCUGAUGUAUUCUGAAAUGCCUGUGGUGUGUAGGGGACCUGUACAGAAGAAAUAAUACAGCAUUCUUCUGCUCUGAGAUCAGCAGAGAAGUAAGAAAUAAGCAGCCAACUCAUGCUGACCCUUAAAAAAAGAGUGAUCAUCUCUUCAUCACCUCCUACAUCCUGUGUGCUGACACCACCCACUCCAUUUGGAUUCCAUUUCUUCAACCCAUUAGCUCGUACCACAAGGCUGACCCCACCUACAAAUACAGUUUGAGAAGAAAAAAAACCAAAACUAAUAGGCUUUUUAAAUUUUAAGUGAUCC